UUUGAGAAAUGUGUAAUGUUUGAUCUAUACAGUUUAUUCAGGUUAUUCAAUUGCAUGGUUGUAAACAUGAUUUAUAUUUGUACACGGAAAAGUUGGGUUUUUGGAGAUACUUGUUUUUCAUUGGACAGCGGCGAUAUAGGGGUACCUAAUAAAAUGCUUGAUCAUGGAAAGCCAGAGAGCAAACACAGGUGUUUUGGAGUCAGCGGGCGCUGUUAGGGACAACAGCAAACACGAGCAGCAAUGCCUGACCCCGAGAUAGCAGUGUUUACUCCAAUUCCUUGUUCAAACCCACAUUUCAAGUCAGGCUGCAUUGCAAACAGCCGCUAUUCACACUGUAUGUCUGACUUUAGAAAGAACGAGCAAAGAGGGGGAGGAAGGAGAGGAAAAAGGAAAUUAGCCCUAAGCAAGCGCGGGCAUGCUAACACUUUUGAGGAGCCAGCAGUGGAUAGUGAAGUGCGAGGGGAAAAGCAAACUCAUUAAAGUUGUUCAGGCCCUCACUUUCCAAAACAAAACAAAUUUAUUUUUCUCAAGUGGAGCUAGUAAACUGACCUCUUCUCACAAAGGAAGUGGACUUAAUGGUUGAAGCUUAAUGGCUGAAGGAAAUGGGAAUUUGUAAGCACCAUGCUAUUGUGGUGAAAAACCCAAGUGAGCCCUGACCAGAAAUAUCCAUGAUUGUACUGAUGUGUGU